rnacentral:rRNA from 1 species
UAGGGAAUCUUCCGCAAUGGGCGAAAGCCUGACGGAGCAACGCCGCGUGAGUGAUGAAGGUCUUCGGAUCGUAAAACUCUGUUAUUAGGGAAGAACAAAUGUGUAAGUAACUAUGCACGUCUUGACGGUACCUAAUCAGAAAGCCACGGCUAACUACGUGCCAGCAGCCGCGGUAAUACGUAGGUGGCAAGCGUUAUCCGGAAUUAUUGGGCGUAAAGCGCCCGUAGGCGGUUUUUUAAGUCUGAUGUGAAAGCCCACGGCUCAACCGUGGAGGGUCAUUGGAAACUGGAAAACUUGAGUGCAGAAGAGGAAAGUGGAAUUCCAUGUGUAGCGGUGAAAUGCGCAGAGAUAUGGAGGAACACCAGUGGCGAAGGCGACUUUCUGGUCUGUAACUGACGCUGAUGUGCGAAAGCGUGGGGAUCAAACAGG